rnacentral:rRNA from 1 species
UACGUAGGGUGCAAGCGUUGUCCGGAAUUAUUGGGCGUAAAGGGCUCGUAGGCGGCCAACUAAGUCAUACGUGAAAUCCCUCGGCUUAACCGGGGAACUGCGUCUGAUACUGGAUGGCUUGAGUUCGGGAGAGGGAUGCGGAAUUCCAGGUGUAGCGGUGAAAUGCGCAGAUAUCAGGAGGAACACCGGUGGCGAAGGCGGGUCUCUGGACAGUUCCUGACACUGAGGCACGAAGGCCAGGGGAGCAAACAGG